rnacentral:rRNA from 1 species
GAAGGUCACGGCGAGACGAGCCGUUUAUCAUUACGAUAGGUGUCAAGUGGAAGUGCAGUGAUGUAUGCAGCUGAGGCAUCCUAACAGACCGAUAGACUUGAACUUUGUUCCUACAUGACCCGAUCAAUUCGAUCAGGCAUUCGCCAUCUAUUUUCAUUGUUCAAGUCUUUGACAACACGAAAAAACCAUUGGUAAACUCUUUGACAACAUGAAAAAACCAAAAGC